AAAACAUAGUAUAAUUAAAAUACAUUUCAUUUACACUGAAAAUAUACUUGAUCAUUAAGUUGUUUU
rnacentral:tRNA from 1 species